rnacentral:rRNA from 1 species
GAUGAACGCUGGCGGCGUGCUUAACACAUGCAAGUCGAACGAAGCACUUUACCUGAUUUCCUUCGGGGAUGAUUGUUCUGUGACUGAGUGGCGGACGGGUGAGUAACGCGUGGAUAACCUGCCUCACACAGGGGGAUAACAGUUGGAAACGGCUGCUAAUACCGCAUAAGCGCACAGUACCGCAUGGUACGGUGUGAAAAACUCCGGUGGUGUGAGAUGGAUCCGCGUCUGAUUAGCUGGUUGGCGGGGUAACGGCCCACCAAGGCGACGAUCAGUAGCCGGCCUGAGAGGGCGACCGGCCACAUUGGGACUGAGACACGGCCCAGACUCCUACGGGAGGCAGCAGUGGGGAAUAUUGCACAAUGGGGGAAACCCUGAUGCAGCGACGCCGCGUGAGCGAUGAAGUAUUUCGGUAUGUAAAGCUCUAUCAGCAGGGAAGAUAAUGACGGUAC